UAACGCGUGGGGACCUACCUCUUAGUGGGGGAUAACGGUUGGAAACGACCGCUAAUACCGCAUACGCCCUUCGGGGGAAAGAUUUAUCGCUAAGAGAUGGACCCGCGUUGGAUUAGAUAGUUGGUGAGGUAACGGCUCACCAAGUCAGCGAUCCAUAGCUGGUUUGAGAGGAUGAUCAGCCACACUGGGACUGAGACACGGCCCAGACUCCUACGGGAGGCAGCAGUGGGGAAUAUUGGACAAUGGGGGCAACCCUGAUCCAGCCAUGCCGCGUGAGUGAAGAAGGCCUUCGGGUUGUAAAGCUCUUUCAGAUGCGAAGAUGAUGACGGUAACAUCAGAAGAAGCCCCGGCUAAUUUCGUGCCAGCAGCCGCGGUAAUACGAAAGGGGCUAGCGUUGUUCGGAUUUACUGGGCGUAAAGGGCACGCAGGCGGUCUUGCCAGUCAGGGGUGAAAGCCCGGGGCUCAACCCCGGAACUGCCUCUGAUACUGCAAGACUAGAGACUAGGAGAGGGUGGUGGAAUUCCCAGUGUAGAGGUGAAAUUCGUAGAUA
rnacentral:rRNA from 1 species